CCUACGGGAGGCAGCAGUCGGGAAUUUUGGGCAAUGGGGGAAACCCUGACCCAGCAACGCCGCGUGAAGGAUGAAGUAUUUCGGUAUGUAAACUUCGAAAGAAUAGGAAGAAUUAAUGACGGUACUAUUUAUAAGGUCCGGCUAACUACGUGCCAGCAGCCGCGGUAAUACGUAGGGACCAAGCGUUGUUCGGAUUUACUGGGCGUAAAGGGCGCGUAGGCGGCGCGGUAAGUCACUUGUGAAAUCUCUGAGCUUAACUCAGAGCGGCCAAGUGAUACUGCAGUGCUAGAGUGCAGAAAGGGCAAUCGGAAUUCUUGGUGUAGCGGUGAAAUGCGUAGAUAUCAAGAGGAACACCUGAGGCGAAGGCGGGUUGCUAGGCUGACACUGACGCUGAGUGCGCGAAAGCCAGGGGAGCAAACGGGAUUAGAUACCCCGGUAGUCCUGGCCCUAAACGAUGAAUACUUGGUGUCUGGAGUCUUUAAUGCUCCGGGUGCCGUCGCUAACGUUUUUAGUAUUCCGCCUGGGGAGUACGCUCGCAAGAGUGAAACUCAAAGGAAUUGACGG
rnacentral:rRNA from 1 species